ensembl:lncRNA
AUAAAGAUGAUAUGAUUCUAUAUUAUCUCCAGAAACACAAGCUUCUCUUUAUUCCACAACAAACUCAGUUCCCAGACUAUGCAGAGCUGAUUGUCAAGUUUCUGGAUGCACUGAUUGACACCUAUCUGCCGGGCAUCGAUGAGGCAAUGAGCGAGGAGGGUCUGCACACACCCACCUCUCCAUACCCUCCACCUGUCCAGAGUCAGCUCAGCAUCACUGCUAACCUCAACCUCUCCAUUUCAAUGACCUCACUGGCCACCUCCCAGCAUACACCAGUGGGAUCAGUGGAAAGAGGAUGCUGCUGUCGUUUAGGCCGCUGAUCUCCGUCUCUGUGCUAACUCUGCUGGGCUGGUGCUGGUACAGCUUUAGUAGGAGGAGGACAACGAUGAAUCCAACACAAGUGAACAUGUGUUGUUCGGCCAGAAGCAGCCCUCUUUACUCCUCCCCUGCUGACUCCAGUAUUUUGGGCGAAAGUUUAUUAAAAGCAUGUAAAAAAGUAAAAGCUUGGUUUAUGCCAGGUUACCCUGAAACUUACAUUGACCAACCCAAUGAUCUGAGCAUGGACCACAGCAACUCAGGAUCCUCUGAAAUCAAAAACCUUACCAGCACCUCUUCCAAAACAGGCCUCACCAAGGGAGUUCGACCCGAGCCAGAAGGAGAAGUAUCCGUUCGCUUCCCUGAGACUCUCCAAACUGAGCAGGAAAAGGACAACGUUGCUGGUGAAGGUCAUCCAGACUGUGGAGAAGUUAGUGAAGAUGACUCUAGACUUGAGUCUGAUCUGGUUUGUCUCUCUUCAAACCACCUUGCCACCGACUCUCACACUUUAACAGAGCAACAGUCAGGUGCUGUCCGCUUGGACAGUCAUAAUGGCAGCAGCCUGACCACUGAUGGAGGCCUGAACCAGGAGAACCUGGAGAAGAUCAGUUCUGUUCAGCAGACAACAAGUCAUAGAUGCAGCAGCAGAGGACUGGAAAAACCAGGAACCCAGUGAUCCACAUGAGCCUGGAUUUCAGUUUGCUGCUCGAGAAUCAUUCAGCUGCGAUGACAACAGAAGAGUAUGCCUUCAGGAAGCCAGCUCUUUCAGGGAAAAACUACUCAGCCAUUUAAGAACUUCUGGUGAUGAUUCUGGAUGUGGUUCCUGCUUCUCAGAAGAUGCAUCCGAUGCAGAAGGGCUGACCAGAGAGUUGUCUGAGGAAGGUCAAGGGUUUGUUAUGAUCCCCACAGAAGCAAACACAGUCAGCAUUGAGAGCAAAAUGACUCCCUGUAUGCUCGAGGUGACAGAAGGAGAGGAGGAGGCCUUGAGAGGUGCGUGAAACAUUUACUC